CUUUUUUUUAUAAUUGACUUUCUUUCUUUCUCUCUCCACCCACUAUUUAGAUUUUACAAUCUAAACGGUGACGUUUCGUUGGUCUUCUAAUCUAAACACCAGCCGUUGGAUCAAACGGCCCGGUUUAUAAUACUUUUCUUCUAUUUGCUUUCUAAUUUGCCGGUUUAUAGUAUCUCAAUGCAAUUUGGAAGUAUUACUUUUUUCAACUAGGGUUGUGCAUUCAUAUUCAUAUGCAUACCCCAUUACUCGGUCAAAUUUGGUAGGUAAUAUAAAUUGAAUUCCAAAAAAUAUUGAUAUCUAAAUGUAAAAGGUCAUUCUAGAAGAACAUAUCUAUUCCCGUGCUAUUCGAUUCAGUAAUUAUCUAUGUAUCUAUAAUUUCUACAGUUGUAUUUUAAACAAUACACAGAUUCUUCUCUUAUACAGUUAACCUUCUUCACGUUGAUUUAUAGUUAAAACAAAAAUUAUAUAUCAUAAAAAUAUCUUUAUGGGCUAAAAUGUGAUUCAGUCGUUAUUAUGGGCCGAGCAGGUUUUUUUUUAUUUUCCAUCGCUCUCUUGCUCCAAUAUAAGCAACAAGGUGGUACGUAAAUGGCAGAAUGGGAAAUCUGGAGGAUACUUUAGCUUUUUAAUGUUGUUGUUUGGAAAAUCUUGACGUGUAGCUUUUGUGCUAAAGUUUCACUAAUAAUUAUAACUACUUCCACAUCUAUGGCUACUUUGAGGAUAUUACAUGUCAUAAAUUGUCAUCGUAAGGUUACUGAACAUGUGGUACGUUCUUAUGUACAAGUCUGAUAUUUUUUGUAUAUUCAAAAACUUAGAACUAGAUUUUCAUUGAUCUACUUAGUGAAGAUUCUUGAGUCUUUGGAGAUGGUCUUAUUGAAUUCUCUUUUUGCUUCCAGUGGGAACUAUUUAACCUUUGAGCGCAUGAUGUUGAUAGUAUUCACAGAAUUGUCAACCUUUUCGUCUAAACCUUUCAAUAGGCCCCUUGUCAAAGACAAACAAACAAAAAAACUAAAGAAAAUACUUUUUCUCUAGUGGGUGAGAGAAUCAAACCCGAAAAAUGUGUAUUCUGCAAUACAUUUUAUACGUUGAUAAGCUUUUCUUGUAGUUUUCGGACUGAGGGAUGUGCUAAUCUUCAAGAGCACGCCAAUCAGAAAACUAAACAGAUUAAGACAAAAACAACUUUGAGAAAAGAGCAGGAACCAGAUUGUCAUUUAUAGUAAGGUGAUCCAGAGGCUCAAGCCAAGGUCAUGUAGUGACCAAUCCUUUAACUUAUUGCAAUGUGAGUACAAAUAGAAUAUUUAUAGAUGACCAUGUUACUUAAAGAAAGAAAGAAAAAUAAAUACGGCUUGAAAUGCUAUGCAUCAUUUGUUAGAGUGAAAGGUAAUAACACAAUAUUAAACUGUAUAAUGAUUUUAACUGAAUUACCUUGAAACUCCAACUGUAUUUCUCUGCUUUUAGAUGCAUAUAUAAGGAUUGCUACGUAGGAGAGAUACCGUCACCAUCUUCUAAACUCUUAAGAAGAAGUGAUGGCGCUAUCUCUCCUGCGAAGCGAACCUUUAUUUGCAGUUUCCAAGCCAUCGAAGAAGCAAGAAAACACUCAUGAUGAUUCUGUAUAUAUGUGUGUAAGUGUAAACACUCUAUUAGAUUCAUCUCAUCCAUGUAUAUAUAUCCAAUGGUUUUCAAGAGAGAAUAUACUAUCACAAUCGUUGCUCUUUGGUUGUCGUUUAGUUUGCCGCUUUCUUUGUGGCUACAAUCAAAUGAACUAUUAUCCCAAGUGAGGUCAUCGUUUUCACGUCAUGUCCAAUUAUUUGACAUUACCUUUCACCUCCAAGAUGUUACAAACAUAUAUACAACGUUCACUGACAGUGGCGAAAAUCUAGCAAGGUUUCAUAUGCAUAUGGAGGGAAAUUGCGACAUCAAGACCUUGGUUUUUGCAUCAAGGUCUCAAAAAACAUUGACGUCUGAUCCUUGUAUAAUGGUUGGUACUUUGUACUCCGAGUAGCUCCUGGAUUGUCACUCUGUGGCACAACUUGAGCCAUUGUAUCGCUAUGGCACUUAUCCAUACCAACUAAGAUUUACACAUUCUAUUUGUACGUAUAAUCUCAAUAAAACAUUCUUUGAAAAUUUUUACUAUCACAAUAUUAUUUUAGUAGUCUUUUUCUC